rnacentral:rRNA from 1 species
GACGAACGCUGGCGGCGUGCUUAACACAUGCAAGUCGAACGGAAAGGCCCUGCUUUUGUGGGGUGCUAGAGUGGCGAACGGGUGAGUAACACGUGAGUAACCUGCCCUUGACUUUGGGAUAACUUCAGAAAACUGGGGAUAAUACCGGAUAGGAGCUCCUGCUGCAUGGGGGGGGUUGGAAAGUUUCGGCGGUUGGGGAUGGACUCGCGGCUUAUCAGCUUGUUGGUGGGGGAGUGGCUUACCAAGGCUUUGACGGGUAGCCGGCCUGAGAGGGUGACCGGCCACAUUGGUACUGAGAUACGCCGCAGACUCCUACGGGAGGCAGCAGUGGGGAAUAUUGCACAAUGGGCGGAAGUCUGAUGCAGCAACGCCGCGUGCGGGAUGACGUCCUUCGGGUGGUAAACCGCUUUCGGCUGUGACGAAGCGUGAGUGACGGUAAUGGGUAAAGAAGCACCGGCUAACUACGUG